UCACUGAAACUUACGGAGUAUAUAAUUAUGACAUUUUGCUUUCUCACAGGUAUUUGACAGAUGCAAUUUCUACUUCCUUUCUUAUCCCUGGGCCACCUGGUACAGAUGUUACCUUCCUAAGACCGGUGCAAACAUGGGAGGUGGCUGGAAAACACAGAGUGUCUAGUAAUGCUGGCGAAGUAGCACAGGAAGAACCACAGCCUUCUGCAGGGAGACGUGCCAAAGGAACCAUACCCAGCAUGCUGCAAUUCAUGUGGCCUCAGGAGAAACAUGAAGGUAACUUCUACUGGUAAA
rnacentral:lncRNA from 1 species